GCGGUUGUAGAUCAGUUGGUUAGAUCGUGAGCUUAACACGCUCAAGGUCGCCGGUUCGAUCCCGGUCAAUCGUA
rnacentral:tRNA from 1 species